UGAGAUCCCUGCCCUGCUCAGUGCCGCCACAUUCGCAAGCAGGGCGCCCCUCUUGCUUGCUUCCAAAUCCUUCCGACCUGCACGCUCCCCUGCGGCUCUGGGAUCCUCCGCUGCGUGAAGCCGGAGUGGUGCCGCGUGUGUGAUUGAAAUAAUUCGUCUGCUUAAAGGUGCAACUGUGUGCUCGGAUUGCCAAGCCCUGGCUUGGUGUCUCUGAAAACAGCUUUCAGGGGAGUCUAUAUUUCAGUCGGACCACCCUUCCACAUUUCUGGAAACACAGUGGUUAAUUUGGCUUCCUCCCCGUUCAAAUCCAUGAAUUUGCCAAUAGAGGUGGAGCUAAAGUGCACCGCAAAAUCCCUGAAGCAUCCUAUGAAACAGCGACUUGAAGCGAAAAAGGGCUGCUUAGCCCUGGAGUCCCAGAAACGGCAAAAUGAACCCAAAAUCUAGCUCUAAUCUACAUGAAAAUUCCCAGUUUAGAAUAUUUUUAACUAAGUAAAGGAGGUUUGUUUUAAAUAAAAGAAAAUCAAAUAAAUUAUAGAUUUAAUGUGCUCCAAAUUAAUGGUUAUAUUUUCACUAUCCGAAAAUAUGUCUGCACGUUUUGCAAAAAAGAAAAAUAGUUCUUUUUUAAGUACAUACACAUAGAAAGUUUUCACGUUUAACUGCAAGCUAAGUAGAGCUUCAAGUGAUAGAAAAAGAUAAAAACUUUCAUUGUAUAUUAAUAGUUAAAUUUUUCCUAUCUGUGUUGUUAUUCUUGUUGCUACAAGUUCAUACAUUUAGGAGGAACAUUUGUUUUACCAUACCAUAAUCCUACAUUUUGAGACACAUCAAUAGUUUUUAUAUUUUAAAUAUAUUUUUUAUUUCAAUAGGUAGUUACAAAUAUAUAUAUAUAUAUAUAUUUAUAAAUUGUAUAGCUUUCAAAAUCAGCCUCUGUCUUGGUAACUGGAAGUAGUUGCUUGUAAAAGUGUUUGACCUAUUUUCUUUAAAGCAACUUUAUCUACUGGAUACCUUGGCUACUCAGACAUACCAUUCUGACAUGCCACUCCGUGCUACCUUCCUGUUAGAAAAAGACUGUCACAAAUCUGCUAGUAAAUGCAAGCUCAGAUUUGUCACUGGACAUAUGUCCUACAUUUUUACUGCUAAGAUCUUGAGGCAGUUCUUUGUACACUGAAAUAAGUGGGUAUUCCCAAUAAGUUAAGGCAGUAGCAGCUAGUGCUGAACCCAUGCUUCAGCUGGAGUGUGCUCUCUGUGCAGCUUUAAACACUUUUUAAACUCUUUUUUUUAAAAAAUACCUUUUUUUUUUUUUUUUACACUGUCUUUGAUGUGUGCUAGCAAUCUUUGUGCACUGUUGGGAUGUUUGUCGCCAAGGCUGAAACCUUAAUAGAGGUAAAAAUGCAGAGCAUGUUGAAAAUAAAUUUACUUGGAAAAUAAUGAUAUAAAGAGAGAAAGAAGGACAUGAGUGAUGCUGUAACUUCAACAGUUGAAGUUACAGUUUUUCAGGUGAAGUUGUAGCUAACUUUAUUUAUGGCUUCAGUGAGUAGCCAUAAUACCAUAAUACGACUAAAAUUGACCAUGUGUUUCUUGUUCUUUUGUAGGCAUAUGUUCUGCUUUUAAUGUACAAAAUCUUUUAAUAAUAAUUCUUGGCAAUUAUUUCUAUUUGAUCUUACUGUUCUCCUUUACUGAAUUGCUUAUAAAAAGCUGUGUCAGUUGUGUUGCAGUAUUCUUCUUUGACUACAGUUACGUGCAGUAUAUUUGCUUUCUGAAUAUGACAGUUCAUGUUGCUUAAGUAGUAUGAAAGUAUUUGCACUCUCAAGCACUGGAAGUUAAGAGUUGGUUCUUACUGCUCCUUAAAACACCCAACUUCAUACCUGUGGAUUCUCUGAGGCUUUGUGUGUUUUGUAGCAGUACAGCUCUGCGUAAUGCUCCCUGUAUAUCCACAUUAAAUCUGAACACUGAGCAGCAAGCUGAAAAGACUGUUCAUGUUGGAUUGUUAAUGACAUAGAUACAUGGAGAAAAGUUGAGCUGGAAGCUCAAAAGCUUCAUUAGAUGGAAUUUCUGAAGAUGGCUGCUCUGAGCAGCUGUUUUGGCACAGUCCAGACGGUGGAUGGACAGCUUACUACCUAAACUAGUUUAUUGUUUCUACAGAUGUCUCAUGGAGCACAGAGGUCUGUGAACCCUCAAAAACAUGCCAGCAAAAGGCUAAAUGAGGAAGUUCAAAAGACCUUUAUCAGUAGCUGAAGACAUCUGCCUUUACACUGACUCUGCUGUGGAACUGUAACACUUUACAUUGGUCCAUCCAUCUGUAAAAUGAGCAGUUGGGCUUUCCCUAAUUUGAAACAAGUGGAAGUGUCUCAAAGGGACCAUUUUAGCAAAACAAACACCAGAAACUUUCUUCUCUAAUAUGAUUUUUUUUUCAAGGCAGAACCGUGAGGAAGAUGACCUCAUCAUCUUUAAAGCUUUGAUGUCCUACUAAAUAACCUUAAUUCAGUGAAGAUUGCACAGUCCAUAGACAGAGCAACUCCUGCAUUUACGAAAGAGAAUUUUUCAUCUUACAGAUAAUUUACUGUUGUAACAAUCCUGAAAGCAUCCAUGCAAAGAAACACACACUGUGAGCUCAGGCCUCUGUUUUGCUCAUCUUAUUCUGUCUUUCCAAUUUGCCACAUGAAUUCUUCCACAUUUAUUUUGAGAUUUCUGGAAAAAAACCACAACAGUAACAACAAUAAAGUAAACACCUAAGAAAAUCAGAAACCCCCCAGAUUUUCUGAUAACAAUUUGAUGCACAAUGCCUUAUUGUAUUUCCAGUACUGUGGAAAAUACAUUUCUGCAACAAGCUUUUUCUAAGAAAUUAUGCACUGGAAUAAAUUUUAGUUUGUGUAGUUUCUGUGACUUCAUGAUUCUGUAUGAACAAUGUGUAUAUUUGAUCAUGCUGAUUCCAAAUAAACUACUCACUGUAUG